rnacentral:RNase_P_RNA from 1 species
CUUGUCGCUGCUGCGCCGCGAGCGCGGCAGAGGAAAGUCCGGGCAACACAGAGCAACGCACUUCCGAAAGGGGAGCUGUCAGCGAUGGCAGGCCAGGCGUAACAGAAAACAACCGCCCCGUGAUGCCGCGUGCAUCGGGGGCAAGGGUGAAAAGGUGGGGUAAGAGCCUACCGGUCCGUGUGGCGACACCGGGCGUCAAUACGUCACUGCGUGUUGCAAGGCCAAAUAUACCGGCAGUCAAGGGUGGCUCGCCCGUUGCCGGGGGGUAGGCUGCUAAUGCCGGCGGGCGACUGCCGGCUCAGAUAAAUGACAGGCGCCGUCGCCUUUCGGGGCGGCGGUACAUAACCCGGCUUACAGUGCCUCU